UCAGGAUGAACGCUAGCGGGAGGCUUAAUACAUGCAAGUCGAACGGUAAGGUCUACUUCGGUAGAUACACGAGUGGCGCACGGGUGAGUAACGCGUACACUACCUACCUUUAAGAGGGGGAUAGCCUUGGGAAACUGAGAAUAAUACCCCAUAAGAUUACUAAUUGUAAAGAUAAGUGAUUAAAGCUACGGCGCUUAAAGAUGGGUGUGCGUACCAUUAGCUAGUUGGUAAGGUAACGGCUUACCAAGGCGACGAUGGUUAGGGGGCGUGAGAGCGUGAUCCCCCACACGGGUACUGAGACACGGACCCGACUCCUACGGGAGGCAGCAGUAAGGAAUAUUGGACAAUGGGGGCAACCCUGAUCCAGCCAUCCCGCGUGCAGGAAGACGGCCCUCUGGGUUGUAAACUGCUUUUAUCAGGGAAGAAGUCUAGGGAUUUAUCCUUAGUUGACGGUACCUGAGGAAUAAGCACCGGCUAACUCCGU
rnacentral:rRNA from 1 species